rnacentral:rRNA from 1 species
CAAUAGCGUAUAUUAAAGUUGUUGCGGUUAAAAAGCUCGUAGUUGGAUUUCUGCCGAGGACGUCCGGUCCACCCUCUGGGUGUGUACAUGGCACGGCCUGGGCAUCUUCUUGGGGUACGUAUCUGCACUUGACUGUGUGGUGCGGAAUCCAGGACUUUUACUUUGAGGAAAUUAGAGUGUUUCAAGCAGGCACGCGCCUUGAAUACAUUAGCAUGGAAUAAUAAGAUAGGACCUCGGUUCUAUUUUGUUGGUUUCUAGAGCUGAGGUAAUGAUUAAUAGGGAUAGUUGGGGGCAUUCGUAUUUAACUGUCAGAGGUGAAAUUCUUGGAUUUGUUAAAGACGGACUACCGCGAAAGCAUUUGCCAAGGAUGUUUUCAUUGA